rnacentral:rRNA from 1 species
GAAAGAUGGCCUAAGCUAUCGCUUUUGGAUGGACCCGCGGCGUAUUAGCUAGUUGGUGAGGUAAUGGCUCACCAAGGCGAUGAUACGUAGCCGAACUGAGAGGUUGAUCGGCCACAUUGGGACUGAGACACGGCCCAAACUCCUACGGGAGGCAGCAGUAGGGAAUCUUCCACAAUGGACGCAAGUCUGAUGGAGCAACGCCGCGUGAGUGAAGAAGGCUUUCGGGUCGUAAAACUCUGUUGUUGGAGAAGAAUGGUCGGCAGAGUAACUGUUGCCGGCGUGACGGUAUCCAACCAGAAAGCCACGGCUAACUACGUGCCAGCAGCCGCGGUAAUACGUAGGUGGCAAGCGUUAUCCGGAUUUAUUGGGCGUAAAGCGAGCGCAGGCGGUUUUUUAAGUCUGAUGUGAAAGCCCUCGGCUUAACCGAGGAAGCGCAUCGGAAACUGGGAAACUUGAGUGCAGAAGAGGACAGUGGAACUCCAUGUGUAGCGGUGAAAUGCGUAGAUAUAUGGAAGAACACCAGUGGCGAAGGCGGCUGUCUGGUCUGUAACUGACGCUGAGGCUCGAAAGCAUGGGUAGCGAACAGGAUUAGAUACCCUGGUAGUCCAUGCCGUAAACGAUGAAUGCUAGGUGUUGGAGGGUUUCCGCCCUUCAGUGCCGCAGCUAAC